rfam:Human rotavirus A strain NR1 nonstructural protein NSP2 gene, complete cds.
GGAAUCUAAUUCGUUAUCUGUUUGAAGGUGGGUAUGGCAGAGUAAGAAUAGAAAGCGCUUAUGUGACC